rnacentral:lncRNA from 1 species
AUAUUUUUGGGUAAACUUCAAAUACUACUCCUGUGGUUUUGUAUUGUCUUACUUUAGUACCCUAUGGUUUAAAGUGUAUCAAGUUAAUAUCUUGUCGUUUUAUUUUUAUCUUUUCGUCAGCUUCUCCGUUAAUUUUUCAUUAAAUUAUAAACAAAAAAAUCAGCUACCCCACCUAGGUUUAUCAAAUAUUCACUUUAGUACCUUUUAGUUUUAACUUUGUCACCAAUUUAACGAAAAAGAUUAGUAAAAUCGAUAAUAAAAUUAAAGAUAAAAAUAAAACCAUAUGGCAUUAAAUUGAUACACUUUAAACUAUAGGGAACUAAAGUGAGAAAGUUUGAAACUACAGGGAUGAUAUUUGAAGUUUUCUCAAUAUUUUUAUAUGUAUCUUUUAUAAUAAAAUUUUAAAGUUUUAAUUAUUAUUAUUAUAUAUGUUUU